ensembl:lncRNA
AGAAGCACAUCCGUGUUCACACAGGUGAAAAACCCUAUGCCUGCCUGAAGUGCGGCAAGAGGUUCAGUCAGUCCAGCCACCUGUACAAACACUCGAAGACCACCUGCCUGCGCUGGCAGAGCAGCAACCUCCCCAGCACUUUGCUCUAGCCUGACCUCGAGAUAACGCCGAUGCCAGUUGUAGGACCGGAACUAAAAUCUCUGUCACAGAUGCUGCACUUUGAUGGUGCUGACACUGGGUCCAGAGCGAGCAUUCUCUGGACUAACAGAUUUCGGGGGCCGGUCCAGCCUGACACAUCUCACCCAACGACAAGCCCGUUUUCUGCUUCGCUUCUUCACACUUUCAUGCCACUUACAGCAUCUUUCCUGGGCCUAGAUUACUGUUUUCAGGUAAAAAAACAAAAGUGAAGUCAACCCCCCUCCAUCGUGGGCUUUAUUACUGUUCUUUAAAGUACAGACCCUGAGCUUCUGUUGUUGCCCCAACCCAAUACUGAAGGUUAGUAAAUAUUUUCCCGUCUCUAUAAGAGGAUUGGGCAGCCCAGAGCAUAGAAGCCACCAGGGUAGCAUCUGAGACAGUCUGAGGAGACCUCUGGGUGACUGACCUGGCCUUCUCUGGGCCGACCCUGUGGCCUUCCAACCCUUUGGGCAGCAUCUGUUAGGCUGAGCCUUGGCUUAAGAGCUUCCAGGGGAACAGCACAGGUUAAUGUGUGUCUGUAGAGCUCAUGAAGUCAGCUUAAUUCAUACAUGAACAUGAGUUCAUUUUUUAUACAGUUUAAUUGAGACACCCCAAACCACUGUGCAUAAUUGAGCAAAAUCCUUCAGUUCUUAUGUUUUGAGAAGUAGUCAGCAUGUGUCUUCUCUUAAUCCAGCAUAUGCAGUUACACGUCUGUCUGUGGAUAAACUCAUAAUGCUCACUGUCAGAUUUAGCAUCUCCUAUGAACUGAUUCCCCAGGGAGGAAAACCAAAAGGGAAGCCUCUGGUCCGUCUCCUAAAAGGGGAGGGGAGAGGUGGGGAGGCGGGUGGAGGCCGUGGGAUCACCUGUGAAGUUCGGUGUGUGUGGAAAAUUGUUAGUAAGUCAUGUUCUGACGAUGUGAUGAGGCUCUACAUCCACCCCUCUGUGGAACCAGUGACUUGUGAGAUCAACCCUGGGAGGCAGGUGGGUCAGCGUGGAGGAGGAGAGGCCCUGCCUGGCCUGGGAAGAGGAGUUGGCGGCACAGAACAGUGGUCGCCCUCCUCCCCUUCCACCUCUAGGAAGAGGUGCCAGGAGGUGGCCCCCUACCUGAGCUCAGGCUUCAGUGGACUUGCCUCGGGGACUGACACAGCCGCCUCUCCACUGCCCAGUGGAAUCUGGAAUCUCUCAUCUACCUCUUAGUCAAUCAGUUUCUAUGUGUGAGAAGCAAGCCUGUGGGCCAGUGUCCUUGUACAUGCUGUAGCACUUAAAUAAUUCAGAGGUUCCCUGGAAGACCAGUCCCAGGGUUCCUACAACUGGUAGUUUCUACCUGAAUUUUAACUGGUAUUGGGUACCUGGAUUUCGAUUGGUUAGCCUUAAUUAUAGCUUGGCAUAAUCAUUUCUGGUGACCAAAUCAUAAAGUUCUAUCAGGGCACCUGGGUCAGUGGUGCUAUGCUGGUCAAAAUUUGAGACUUUGAAAUAAAAGCUUUGUCAUAUUAAUGCCUCUAACUAAUUAUGCGUUCUUUUUCUUCACCUUAGGUUAAGGUUGAAACAAAAGAGUGAAAUAGUAUUGCUUUUUCUGCUAACCCUGCUGUUACCAUGUUACCAGUACUCUGUUUUAAACCAGGCAUCUUAGAAAAUACUCUGAUGCUGUCAGUAACAAGUAUUGGUCAUUAGUCCCUUGCGCUUUUUCCCUCUGCGCUGUGGAUGGGGCUGAGGCGGUGUCCUCAGUCCACCGGCCCUCCCAGAGGGCCUGCCAAAUUGUGUACUUCUGCUGCUCCCUUACCUGCCUCCCAGGGGAGAAACCCCACUCUUCA